rnacentral:rRNA from 1 species
GACGGGGGAUGCAAGUGUUAUCCGGAAUCACUGGGCGUAAAGCGUCUGCAGGUGGUUUCCUAAGUCCACUGUUAAACCUUGAGGCUCAACCUCAAAUCUGCAUUGGAAACUAGGAGACUUGAGUAUAGUAGGGGUAGAGGGAAUUUCCAGUGGAGCGGUGAAAUGCGUAGAUAUUGGAAAGAACACCGAUGGCGAGGGCACUCUACUGGGCUAUUACUGACACUCAGAGACGAAAGCUAGGGGAGCAAAUGGG